UUACUUUUUCCUAUUUAUUGUAUUUUUACUGCAGAAGCCUGCGACUCUUCGCAUGAAAUCCAGUUUUACAAGUUCUUUAUACACACUUUAAUUGGGGAGUAAGCAGGCGAAUGAGUUACAAAAAGUGUGAUCGGGUGAGGCGAACAUGAAAGAAUAUAUGUGUAAAAAAUAAACAUACACUCGAAUUAAGAACCUCUUCCUUUUUUUGAAGUCGGGUAAAAAGAGAACAUGAUGAAUUGACAUAUGAUAGAAAUGAAGGGAAAGAUAGGAUCACAAGUUAGAACUUUACUAUAGUCUCACUGUUAAAUAACACUGGUAGCGAGUUAGUGUAACCUUGCAUUCCAAUUCCACUGCACAAUAGUUUGAAUUGUAAUUUUAAUGCUUAUUAUUAUUUAUAAAUAACAAAUUUAUAUGAUUCAGCUUGUGUAUUUUUCUACAUAACACAAGUUUUUGGUAAUAGUAUAAAUAAAUAAUAGUAUUAAAAAAUACCCAACAUAAUGAAAUAUAUCUAACUUACCUUCAAUUUAGUAACCAGCAAUUCUACACAAGCAAGCAAUCAAACCAAAGAUUUAUUUUUUAUAAAAAAAACACUAGAAAAUGCUAGAGAAGUCAUAGUUUGUAUAUAUUGAUUUUGAUUUGACAUUACCGCCUCUCAUGGCUUCCUAUCAGACAAGGUUAUAAACUGCAUAUUCUUUGUCUUUUAUACUCCAUUCUAUACCAUCCUCUCCUUAUUUUAAAACUUUUAUGGGGAAUGCCCAUGGGCCAAUACAACAUUGGAACCCAGGUAUAAAACUAUAUGGAGAUGAUAUUAUGGGAACUUUUUGAACAGAUUGUUCAAAUAUUACUUGUCUAUGUAGUUUUUUUCUAUGUUAUUACACAUGUGUAAUGAUUCUGUAGGUUUACGUUUGAAUGUUAACAAGUUGCAAGUUAAAUAUUUGGCCUGUCGGCCAUGAUGGUCUGUUUGAUGACGUUACAUGAACAAAUCCUUUACAAACGGGAUUUUUUUUUUAGUUUGACGUUUACAAGUAACUUUGUGACGUCAAAGUGGACGACAGCGAUUUUGACGUUUGGAAAAUUUGAAAAUAUACAUUUUUUAAAAUUAAGUUUUAUAAGAAAUCCUUAACCUUUAUUAAUUAAUAUCGAUUUAUUUCGGACCCUUAUUCCAUCAAUAAUGUUAAAUACUGUUAGAUGUGUUAUCAUCGCAUGAUAAAUGAGGCGCUCAAAAGAGGAAAUUUCCACAUCUCAAUGU